AGUCGCCAAAAUGUUAGAAAUAUAAUGUCGCAAACUAUUGGUUACGAAGUUGCGCAGGCAUACACGUGGACAGGAAAAAAAAAUAAAUUGUCUCUAAGAAAAUCAAGACUAUCCGAUACAAUCAUUGAAACUGUAUUGAUGCAAGGAAAAAGCACCGUGAG